CAGCAGUCGCCGCGGUAAUACAGAGGGUGCGAGCGUUAAUCGGAUUUACUGGGCGUAAAGCGUGCGUAGGCGGCUUCUUAAGUCGGAUGUGAAAUCCCUGAGCUUAACUUAGGAAUUGCAUUCGAUACUGGGAAGCUAGAGUAUGGGAGAGGAUGGUAGAAUUCCAGGUGUAGCGGUGAAAUGCGUAGAGAUCUGGAGGAAUACCGAUGGCGAAGGCAGCCAUCUGGCCUAAUACUGACGCUGAGGUACUAAAGCAUGGGGAGCAAACAGGAUUAGAUACCCCCGUAGUCCCUGUCUCUUAUAA
rnacentral:rRNA from 1 species